rfam:Pleurotus ostreatus PC15 unplaced genomic scaffold scaffold_04, whole genome shotgun sequence.
GGCCGACUAGCUCAGCUGGUUAGAGCGUCGUGCUAAUAAAUAUUCGAAGCAUUGUCGCAAUUGCUGCGCGGUUCCUGCGCGGCAAUUGCGACGGUGGUUCGGAUUGCAACGCGAAGGUCUUGGGUUCGAUCCCCACGUUGGCCA